CUGUACAGUUCAGAGUUUGAUCCUGGCUCAGGACGAACGCUGGCGGCGUGCCUAAUACAUGCAAGUCGAACGCACCGACAACGGAACUUGUUCCGUUAGACGUGAGUGGCGCACGGGUGAGUAACACGUGGGAAACCUACCCUUCAGCGGGGGAUAACCGUCGGAAACGAUGGCUAAUACCGCAUAGUACUUUGAACCACCUGGUUUAAAGAGGAAAGACGGCUUCGGCUGUCACUGAAGGAUGGUCCUGCGGUGCAUUAGCUAGUUGGUAAGGUAACGGCUUACCAAGGCGAUGAUGCAUAGCCGACCUGAGAGGGUGAUCGGCCACAUUGGGACUGAGACACGGCCCAA
rnacentral:rRNA from 1 species